UACGUAGGGACCAAGCGUUGUUCGGAUUUACUGGGCGUAAAGAGCUCGUAGGCGGUCUGUCGCGUCCGUUGUGAAAACUCGAGGCUCAACCUCGGGCUUGCAGUGGAUACGGGCAGACUAGAGUGCGGUAGGGGAGACUGGAAUUCCUGGUGUAGCGGUGGAAUGCGCAGAUAUCAGGAGGAACACCGAUGGCGAAGGCAGGUCUCUGGGCCGCAACUGACGCUGAGGAGCGAAAGCAUGGGGAGCGAACAGG
rnacentral:rRNA from 1 species